AGCGAACGCUGGUGGCAGGCUUAACACAUGCAGGUCGAACGGGCGUAGCAAUACGUCAGUGGCAGACGGGUGAGUAACGCGUGGGAACGUACCUUUUGGUUCGGAACAACCCAGGGAAACUUGGGCUAAUACCGGAUAAGCCCUUACGGGAAGAUUUAUCGCCAAAGAUCGGCCCGCGUCUGAUUAGCUAGUUGGUGAGGUAACGGCUCACCAAGGCGACGAUCAGUAGCUGGUCUGAGAGGAUGAUCAGCCACAUUGGGACUGAGACACGGCCCAAACUCCGUACGGGAGGCAGCAGGUGGGGAAUAUUGGACAAGUGGGCGCAAGCCUGAUCCAGCCAUGCCGCGUGAGUGAUGAAGGCCC
rnacentral:rRNA from 1 species